rnacentral:rRNA from 1 species
CUUACCUUAAUAAUAAGAGUGACGGGCGAUGUGUGCAUAUUUUAAAACUAAAAUCAAAACUAUAAUCUUUUAAUUUUUACUAUCAAAUCCACCUUCAUUAAAAUAUUUAAAAAUUAAAUCCGUUUAAAUAAAUUUAUUGUAACCCAUCUCUUCUUAAAUAUAAGCUACACCUUGAUCUGAUAUAAAUUUUAAUUGAAAUUAUUGAAAAUUAUUAUUCUAAUAAAAUAUUCUGAUAACGACGGUAUAUAAACUGAAAAACAAAUUUAAGUGAGGUACAUCGUGGAUUAUCAAUUACAGGACAGGUUCCUCUGAAUAGAAUAAAAUACCGCCAAAUUUUUUAAGUUUCAAGAACAUAACUAAUACUACUUUAAUGUUUACUUUUACAUUUUAAAUAAUA